GCGAAGGCUGUGAAUGUAUUUGCGGCUGUUUGAAAGAGGUUUGGGAGUGCAUAUCUUGCUGUCUCUGUUUUUAGGUGUGGAUACCAGAUAAAGAUUUUGGUGGCCUUUUGAUGAAUUUUUGACAUUUUUCGUUGUGUCUUUAGCUUAGAUCCUACUUUAAACUGGACAAUAUAAGCUUCAUUUAACGUAUCCUCACCUGGGUCCCAAUGGAAGAAGUAGUUCAAUCUAUAUGACGAUCAAUUUUUUAACCUAUGAUCGUCUACCCUCUCACUUUUUUUUUAUGUAUAUCUGAAAAGCGGACUCAAUUGCAGUAACUCGAACUCUACAGGAGUAGAGCUUCUGCAGCUUGAUCGUGUAGAGUGUUCUUCUCAAUUUUGUUGGCAAGUUCUAAUUUUGGUGCAGCUAAUGACCUAAGACUAUAUCUAUUUACGACGUGUUGCUUGAGUUUUAGUGGAAAGUCCUCAUUGUAUAAUGACUUGUGCGCUAGCUUAGCUAUAUUAAAUUCUAAACGCUCUUUGA